rnacentral:lncRNA from 1 species
CCCUGCGCCUGGGGUCGGCGGACAAACAGCGGGCCGUCUAGCCACGCCCCCACUGAGAGCUGCGGAAAACUACACUUCCCAGGGUUCCCCGCGGCGACGUGGCGCUGCCGGGGGCAGAGGGCCCGGGCUGGGGGCGGGGCCGCCGGGGUCGCAGUCGGAAGACUCGGGAGGGUGUCCGCCUGACGCCGCGGGAGCGAAGGCCGGGCGGGAGGCCUUGGCCUUCCGGAGGGAGGUAGAGGGGAAGGGGACAACACAAGGGAAGACCGAGGAGCCGCAAGUUCCCUCUACGGCUUAGCUCAGCCGCUUACCCAGGCCACGCGGAGGCGCAGAGGUGGUUCGCCAAGGAAAAGCGUGGAUAUUUCGCCAGACGGCAAAAUUCUGGGAUGUCAGAGUUACAGGGCUUGGAGGUGGGGGAGAGCAAAGGUUGGCAGCAGGUCCCGAGCCUAGAGGGCAGCAGAGGCCCCGGGACCGAGGGAGGGACUGCUGUGUCGCUGGGUCUUGGUCCGGGAGAGGUCGGCCCUGAGAAGCAGGUGGUGGGCGUGAGCAAGGCUGGGGGCCAGAGAGGAACAGCAGGGACGGUUUGCAGAUUCCCAGCACCCAGUUCACUAGAAGAGUCAGCAAAUUCUCCUGCCGCCAUCUCCCUCAUCCGCAACUCUGGCAGGGUUGGGCUCCAUUGCUGGGAAUCUGGGUGGCCUCUCCCAAAAGACCGGAGUAGCAGUGGGCUACCCAGCCCUAUGCCCUGCAGCUCUGCUACCCUGAUCCUGUUAGCUGUGCACGGUGCCCCAACAUUUACAGUCCUGGUAAUAUCGCUCACACUUAUCAAACACCCACCGUGACUAUUCUUAUAUCUUGUUCUAAGUAACUCUCACAAUAGCUUUAUGAUGAAGUCUUAUCACUUCCAUUUUUUCGCGAGGAAAAUUGAGGGACAGAACGGGGUAUGUUUAAGGUCAUGUAGCUUUUCAUUCGUCCUAUGAAUGAGUCUGGCUCCCACAGGACAUAUUACAGGUACACACACGUAACAUAGCAGGUGUUCCAUACAUGAACACGGUGACUUCGCCAGGAAUGAGUGCUGAGUUUAGCCUGAAGCCAGGCAGGGCCUCAAAAUAUUGUAAUACCCAGGGGCUCAAAUCUGGGGCUUUCACUUACUGGUUAUUCACCACCUGUCCAUAAGUGCCAGGAACUUUUCUGGGGCUGAAAAGGUGGUACAGGGUCUGUGUCCCAGGAAGUUUGAGAUUUAAUGGGUCUUAGGGCUUUGGAGUAGUGCCUCUCUGUCUAAGAUCCAGCAUCAGCCCCUCCAAGUCCUUAGAGAUGUGUUCCUCUUCCUACUGGGGACUUAGGGUUCCAGUGAGAGGAGGGUAGGGUAGGGUAAAGCCCCCUGAGGGUCACUGCAAGUAGCUAUAGGCCCAGGAGCCGAUGGUCUUGAGGCUGUGGGCUUGGGGGAAGGAAUACUGCUUCCAUUCUUCUUUGGUUUCUUCAGCGUCUUGGGAAUGUGAGGAGAGAGGAAAGAAAGGUGAGUUCAGCCAGCAGCCAAGCUGGCACCUCCCAUCUGUCUCUCUCUCCCCAGGCAUGAUAGAGUCUUGUCUGGGCUUGGCCAAGCGGGGGCUGGAGACCUGUGGGAGAGAAGAGGAUGGGAAGGAGGGGGAAAGUCCAUGGAACUUGAUUUUCCUAGAUAAUUGGUAGGGCUAUGGGUGGGCUCGGCUGGGAUAGAGGUCUGCUUUUUUUUUUUGCUUUUUAGGGCUGCACUCACGGCACUUGAAAGUUCCUAGGCUAGGGGUCAAAUCAGAGCUCCAGCUGCCAGUCCCAGCCCCAGCCUCAGCAAUAAGGGAUUGAAGCCUCGUUUGUGACCUACACCAUAGCUCAUGGCAAUGCCGGAUCCCUGACCUACUGAGCAAAGCCAGGGAUUGAACCCCAUGUCCUCAUGGAUGCUGGUCGGAUUUGUUUUCCGCCUCGCCAUGAUGGGAACUCCAGAGGUCUUUCUUUAUUUUCAAAAUCCACUUACCCUAUUAGAGAAGGGGUCCCUGGGGAUGUGGGGAGCCAACAAGAGUGCUGGUCCCAGAUGCUCUUGCUCAGUUCUCAGUUCCGCCCCAUCUCCCUUCCUUCCCUUCAUCAUCGUGAUUUACCGACAGUGUCAAAUCUCAUCUUUUUCCCUGGGAUUCCCUACAAUCUAUUCGUCACACAUCGGAACAUUGCCCUGCUUAAACCCUGCAAGGGCUUCCUAUCACCCUUGGGAAAAAACUCAAACUGUCCCCUUUGUCUAAAAUGCCCUUCUCGGAGUUCCUGUCAUGGUGCAGCGGAAACGAAUCCCACUAGGAACCAUGAGGUUGCAGGUUUGAUCCCUGGCCUUGCUCAGUGGGUUAAGCAUCUGGUGUUGCUGUGAGCGGUGGUGUAGGUCACAGAUGCGGCUCGGAUCCUGUGUGGCUGUGGCUGUGGCGUAGGCCGGUGGCUACGGUUCCGAUUUGACCCCUAGCCUGGGAACCUCCAUAUGCUUAGGGUUCAGCCCUAAAAAGAAAAAAAUAAAAAAAAAAUAAAAUGUCCUUCUCUCAGCUCUUGGCAUGGUGGGCUCCUUGCCUGUCUGGGUUCUGUACGCAUGUCGCUCCAUCUUUGUGGAUUCUUUGCCCAAGCACUUGCCCUAGAGAUUGAGAGAGAGCCACUGUCGAGGCCAUCCUCUCUCAUCAUGCUUUAUUUUCUCAUAGUACUUAGCAGUGUCUGAAAUUACCGUAUCGAUUUGUUAACCCGUAUUCUUGGGCGGCAGCAGUGCAGUGCAGUAGUUGAAAGCAUGGGAAGUGGUUUGAACAAACACUUCCUGGAUGCGUAACCUUGGGUUAAUUGGUUAACCUCUCUGAGCCUUGGUUUCCUCAUUUGUCAAGUGGGCGAAGCAGCAGUCCCGGCGUCCUGUCCUGACGGUCAGGGAGAUGAUGGCUGUCACACCCUCCGGGCUCACGAAAAGUUGGCUGCUGUUAUUAUGAUGCUGGUUCUGAUCUACGGUUUACGGCGAACUCGUUCUGUGGCCUAAAACAGUGCUGAAGGAACCGGAAAGUAAACCUUCACCUAGGGUGUGGGACGCACUCUCCACGCAGCUGUGCGGUGCAGGGAACACCAUUUUGGAAGUGACAAGAAAUGCCGUGUCCCUGAGUAGCCCGAACAGUUUUUGAGAGAGAGUCAGGAGACCUUGGUCCUGGCGUCAACAUUGCUACCGCUUUGGUGCAGGUCACAGGUUGCUGGUGAGGCCCUCACCUUCCUUGAGCCUCGGGUUCUUCAAAGAAAAUGAUGGGUUGGGGAGUUCUCUUGUGGUGCAGUGGCUUAAGGAUCAGGCAUUGUCACUGCAGUGGCUCUGGUUGCUCAGGCCUGGCCUGGGAACUUCUGCAUGCUGCAGGUGUGGCUUAAAAAAAAAAAAGGGGGGGAGUUCUUGUCUAGGUUCAGCAGAAAUGAAUCUGACUAGGAACCAUGAGGUUGCGGGUUUGAUCCCUGGCCUUGCUCAGUGGGUUAAGGAUCCGGCAUUGCCGUGAGCUCUGGUGUAGGUCACAGACACGGCUCGGAUCGCGUGUUGCUGUGGCUCUGGCAUAGGCCAGCAGCUGUAGUUCCUAUUCGACCCCUAGCCUGGGAACUUCCAUAUGCCAAGGGUGCAGCCCUAAAAAGCAAAAAAAAAAAAGGGGGGGUUGCUCCCUGCCAGCUUCCAGGGGUUCUAGUUGGGCCCUGUGCUCCUUUAUCCACUGCAUACUUUUCAGUGUUGGGGACACACAGUGCCCCCAACUCCCUCAGCUCUGCUUCCUAACUCUUCAAAGCUGCCACAGAGAGAGCUGACCUGGGGAAAAUAUUGUUGGUCUUAAGCCUUUGAUCCCAGAGACAAAGUCCCAGCCCUGGACACCGGAUCUUCUUUCUGCCCAGGUCCGGCCCUCCCCUUCAGCCUCACCCACUUUCAUAUUUGAGCCCAUGGGGAGGAGAGCCAGCCCCGCCUGAGCCACCCUUCCCCCACCGCAGGCAUGAAGGCCUUGGCCUCAGACAUGCAGGCAGAGCAUGCAGACAGCUGGAAGCACGCAGACGCAUGUGCCUGGGUGUACUUGUGGGUCUCUGCAGUUAUAUUUUAACUUGUUCCUGUUUUUUUCUCAGUUGUGUCAGGACUGAGAUUAGAGGAAAAGAUUGUAGGAUGGCAGGGCUGGCAUUCUCUACCCUCUGCCUGAGGGAAGAAGCCACCUGUCAAAUGAGAUGUUAGUCUCUAGGGGUGUUGUGGGGGUCGCUUCCUUUGUCUGCCCCCACUCCCUGCAAGAUGUGCCGGUGGUCCAACAGGAUUUGAGGGAGGAGGGGCAUGAGACAGAAGCCCCGGUGGGACUCAGAGGGCGGGAGCUUUUCCAAGGAGCCAGGAGGGCUGCAGGCCUGGGAGCAGGUGUGUCUGGUGGUGGCCUCAUGCUGAGUUCUUUGCCCCCUUGGUCCCUGCUGCCAGAUUGUCAGCUGUCCACUCUUUACUGGAGCUGCCUCUCCACUCACGGGUCAGUCUGGGGGACUGGGUUAGAUGGCCAGUGAGAUCCCCAAGGGGAAGAUGGACUAAGGAAGGGGUUCUCCCUUUCCCUUCUCUGUCCUCUUUGUUUCAGAGGCUGAGCCCACCUGCCUGACACCUGGCACCCAGCUCGUCUGGGAUGCUGUCUGUCUCCCUGCUAAAGCUGAGGCCUGGUCUUCUGCCUGUCUCCCUUUUCUUCAGUGCCUCCUGGAGGGGGCGGCCCAGAGGAGCAGGUUUUGGAAGGCAGGGCUUGAUGUGUGUUGAAGGAGGAGUCUGUGCUUUGUGCAGUGAGGUGUGGCAUCGGCUGGCUUGCUUAAGCUGGGGCAGAUCAGAAGGCUGGUUCGAGGGGUGCAGGGAAGUCUGACGGCGCUACUCUGGUAUUAUCGCCCUUCCUUUAAACUUAAGACCUAGGUGGAGUUCCCUGGUGGCUCAGCCAGUUAAGGAUUGGCAUUGUCUCUGCUGUGACUGGUGACUACUGUGGCACAGGUUCAAUCUUUUGAUUCCUGGCCUAGGAAUUUCCCAGUCCACUGGCAUGGACCAACAAACAAAAAAACC